CACCACAAUAGAGUAGUAACAACUAUCAGAGGGGUAAGCUGUGUUAAUCUGUAUCCACAAAAACAAUAAGGAGUCCAGUGGCAUCUUAAAGACUAAUAGGUUUAUCUGGGC